rnacentral:rRNA from 1 species
CCGACGGUGAGGGAUGAAAGCUGGGGGAGCAAACCGGAUUAGAUACCCGGGUAGUCCCAGCUGUAAACGAUGCGCGUUAGGUGUGUCAGUGACCACGUGUCACUGAUGUGCCGAAGGGAAACCGUGAAACGCGCCGCCUGGGGAGUACGGUCGCAAGGCUGAAACUUAAAGGAAUUGGCGGGGGAGCACCACAACGGGUGGAGCCUGCAGUUUAAUCGGACUCAACGCCGGAAAUCUCACCGGAUAA